rnacentral:rRNA from 1 species
GACGAACGCUGGCGGCGUGCUUAACACAUGCAAGUCGAACGCUGAAGCUCAGCUUUUGUUGGGUGGAUGAGUGGCGAACGGGUGAGUAACACGUGAGUAACCUGCCCCCUUCUUUGGGAUAACGCCCGGAAACGGGUGCUAAUACUGGAUAUUCACUGGUCUUCGCAUGGGGGUUGGUGGAAAGGGUUUUUCUGGUGGGGGAUGGGCUCGCGGCCUAUCAGCUUGUUGGUGGGGUGAUGGCCUACCAAGGCUUUGACGGGUAGCCGGCCUGAGAGGGUGACCGGUCACAUUGGGACUGAGAUACGGCCCAGACUCCUACGGGAGGCAGCAGUGGGGAAUAAUGCACAAUGGGCGCAAGCCUGAUGCAGCGACGCCGCGUGAGGGAUGGAGGCCUUCGGGUUGUGAACCUCUUUCGCUCAUGGUCAAGCCGCAACAAUGGUUGUGGUGAGGGUAGUGGGUAAAGAAGCGCCGGCUAACUACGUG